rnacentral:rRNA from 1 species
UAGGGAAUCUUCCGCAAUGGGCGAAAGCCUGACGGAGCAACGCCGCGUGAGUGAUGAAGGUCUUCGGAUCGUAAAACUCUGUUAUUAGGGAAGAACAAAUGUGUAAGUAACUAUGCACGUCUUGACGGUACCUAAUCAGAAAGCCACGGCUAACUACGUGCCAGCAGCCGCGGUAAUACGUAGGUGGCAAGCGUUAUCCGGAAUUAUUGGGCGUAAAGCGCGCGUAGGCGGUUUUUUAAGUCUGAUGUGAAAGCCCACGGCUCAACCGUGGGGGGUCAUUGGAAACUGGAAAACUUGAGUGCAGAAGAGGAAAGGGGAAUUCCAUGUGUAGCGGUGAAAUGCGCAGAGAUAUGGAGGAACACCAGUGGCGAAGGCGACUUUCUGGUCUGUAACUGACGCUGAUGUGCGAAAGCGUGGGGAUCAAACAGG